rnacentral:rRNA from 1 species
UACGAAGGGGGCUAGCGUUGCUCGGAAUCACUGGGCGUAAAGCGCACGUAGGCGGAUUCUUAAGUCGGUGGUGAAAUCCUGGAGCUCAACUCCAGAACUGCCUUCGAUACUGAGAGUCUUGAGUCCGGGAGAGGUGAGUGGAACUGCGAGUGUAGAGGUGAAAUUCGUAGAUAUUCGCAAGAACACCAGUGGCGAAAGCGGCUCACUGGACCACAACUGACGCUGAGGCGCGAAAGCUAGGGGAGCAAACAGG